rnacentral:sRNA from 1 species
GAUGAAUGCAGAGGUGGUAGGAUGUACCUGUAACACUGCUGGGAGGGAGUCCUGGUCCUAAUAGCACAACCACAUCAACAGACUGGCAAGUGCACAGAUCCAUGACAUCUCAGUAACUAAGACAUGUUCCCAGGAAGACUUCUGAUCAAAUUUGGUUCUUCUCAGCUGAUGUUGCUGGGUUUUGGGAUGAGGACAGACAUUUCACUCUAAUCCUAAUAUGAUAAUUUCCCUGAUCCAGAAAAACCUAUACCUGCUGAACGCCACCGAGGGUCAAGUCACAGACAAGAAGCUGUGCAGUCACCAGUGUUUCCUCCUGCCCAGAAACAAAUCCACCAAAAACCCAUACCUCUGCCAAGAUUUACAGAAGGGGGAAACCCAACUGUGGAUGGGCCCCUACCCAGCUUUUCAUCUAAUUCCACUAUUUCAGAACAGGAAGCUGGCGUUCUCUGCAAGCCAUGGUAUGCUGGAGACUGUGAUCGAAAGUCUGCUGAAGAGGCAUUGCACAGAUCAAACAAGGUCUGAUCAUUUUUAUUAUUUAUUAUUAUUAUUUUAUUUUAUUUUAUUUAUUUGUUUUGAGAUGCAGUUUCACUGGAGUGCAGUGGCUCGAUCUCAGCUCACUGCA